AGCAGAACGGCAGGUGGAUCAACUCACGCCAGGGAAUAGGGAGCGGACUAUGUGUGUGACUCACAGAAGGAGCGCUGUCAGCUCCUUCAUGUAAGCUCGUGGAGCCCUCAAAGGUCAGGGGCAGAGAAAACUUUCCACCAGCCACAGAGACACUGGUUAACUCUGGAUCAAGUAUAGUACUUUGCAUGAGACAGCGCUCAAGGCAACCUAAGACAAGUGACUGACAGGGUAUUGUUGGACAGCUGUAAUAAGUAGAGAUUUGCGGUUGUGUGUGUGGGUGGAGGCGUGGCCUGUGCUCCAGUCCUGCCCUGUCUGUCGAUUUUUCACCCUGCUGACUAUAUCCUUGUAGUAGAGAACUGACUGUGACUGACAUUACUGUGCGCUCUACACUCUGUGGAGCCUCUCAACGUUUGUGGCAGAAGCCACUGUCAGGCGUUGCCCCUGACGACCUGCUUCCCUCCUUGCUGCCACAGGCUGGGUGUGUACAUGGACGCCUGUGACCUACAACGCUGCUGAAUCGCCCUUCAGGGACCACUGUGGGUGGCUGCGUUGAGGGUCCAAGAGCCAUCCGACGAGGAUCAGCUUCUGCUGGGACGUGUCGAGGAGCGAACAUGACCGAGGCGUGGAUCGCAGCGAUCCUCCUCAGUGCCACCCUCGCUGGACUCUGCUUCGGCUGCCACGAACAAUUUCCCAUCCAACAGGUGUCCGCCAGCAAGGAAGCAAUCAUUCCAUGCCCUCACCUGGACACACCAUCCUCCGCAAACUUCAGCCUGCUGAAAAACGGGGUCAAGGUUGCCUCCAGCACCAUCGGACAGAACUGGACGGCGAAGUCUCCUAGAUGGACACCAGCCGGCAUGGCUUUCCAGGUUCACGCACACAAUGACAGCCACUUCACACUCUCACCAGAGAUGGUCAACAGGACAGGCCUGUACACCUGCAGGAUUGAGGAUCAGUCUUCCCCUUCAGAGGCGUCAGGUCCAGAGGGACAAAGCCAUCUGAUUAUCCUAGAAACGUGUCCCAAUGACUGCACAUCCGACAGCCCCUCGGCCGUUUUCUGGCCUUGGGCAGUGGGCUGCGGCUUGCUGGCCAUCUACAGUCUAGUGAUCAUCAAGAUCACCGUGAAGAUCUGGCACAAAUUGAAGCAGUGUGAUAGCAAUGAGACCGACUACAUGAACAUGAAACCCAGAGGCUUCAGGGGUCAUAUGGGGAUACAGCAGCUGACCAGAGUCAGAAUGACCAAGUAGGAUCCCACUUGGACACACAUGGAGUGGCCAUCAGAGCUGCUCUGAGACACAGGAGAACCAGGCAACCUGGACAUUGAGAGAGAAAAAAACUAUUAAUUAAUAAACACAGUGUACCAAAAAAUGCA
rnacentral:lncRNA from 1 species